CCUGGAUGCUUAUUGCAGCAUAAUAAGUUGAACCAACUACCAAAACAAAAAAAGAUAGAAAAAUGGUUCGUUUGAUGUAUUUAUCAUUAUGUGUAUUUGACAGAAAAUUAUGUUUUCCCCAAACACAUCGAGAAAGAAAUUUUAAUGUACCGAACAUGCCACCUCAUAUUUGUAACCUUAGCUUGUUCAUAAAACUUUUGCUAUACACAAUGCUACAAAUAUCAGAGCAAAAUAUAUGAAUGGAUGGAUGUAUUUUAAUGUGCGUUUGCAAUUUGAAGCUAAACAGACCACCAGACAUAAAGAUAUCACUCUAUCUUGAGGUUUAUUUAUGCAGCAUAUUUUUAACAGUUCUUUAAUACACAUAUUCAGUUUUUUAAGGUGAAGUAUCUAAUAUUGUUUAAAUUAUUACCUUCCAGAUGUAUUUCGUCCAUCCCUGUCUUGAGAUCAGUUUGGUUCUUUGAUGAUUGUGAUUGAGAUUAUAAUGUUCAAGAGGGUAAUAAUCUGAUGCCUGAUCAGUCCAGUACAGUUCAUUGUGUUCACAUAUUUCAUAUCAGUGUAUAUCAUCCAUCCCUCAUCUCCAGUGGCUGUACUAAAAGCAGUUUUGUCUGAGAUUGUGUAUGGUUGUUUUAAAAACCAUCAUAAUUGUUAUAAAGAUGUACUGUGCAUAAACUGAAGGAUAGGAGACGAUGCGGAGAGAAGGAGACAUUUUCCUUUGGCACUUUCAAAGGGAAUGCUGUUUUUGAAAUUUAAAAAAGAUCAGAUGGGAUUAACAAAGUCUUGUACAGUUCUGUAGAUUUAUCAUACCUAUAUUUUGGUUUUGGUUUACCAGUGAACAUUUGAUAGUGCUCAUUACUUUGUGAAUAAAGUGUUGAAUGCUAAAA